rnacentral:rRNA from 1 species
GGGGAAUUUUUCGCAAUCNGUGAGCCCCUCACGGAGCAAUAACGCGAGAGGGGAGACGGCCUAUAAGGUUGUUAACCUCUUUUAUCAAGGAGGAACAAAAUGAACGUGUACCUGAAGAAUAAGCAUCGGCAAACUCCGUGCCAGCAGCCGCGGUAAGUCGGAAAGACGGCAAGUGUCAUCCGUGAAUCCACUGGGCGUAAAGCGUCAGUAGGUGGUNUCUUAAGUCUAGUUCUAAAUCGUGAGGCUCAACUUCAAAUCAUGCCGUCGACACACUAUCAGUCUUGAGUAUNGUAGGGGUAAAGGGAAUUUCCAGUGGAUGCGGUGAAAUGCGUAGAUAUUGGAAAGAACCCCGAUGGCGAAGGCGCUUUCCUGGGCUAUUANUUACACUCAGAGGAUCGAAAGCUAGGGUAGGCGAAAGGGAUCAGAUAUCCCCUGUCGUGCUAGCCCUACAACCAAUGGAUACG